rnacentral:tRNA from 1 species
GGAGGGAUGGCUGAGCGGCUGAAGGCACCCGACUCGAAAUCGGACGGGCGUUAAUAGCGUCCCGUGGGUUCAAAUCCCACUCCCUCCGCCA